CAGCCGCCGCGGUAAUACGUAGGGGGCGAGCGUUGUCCGAAGUUACUGGGCGUAAAGCGCGCGUAGGCGGCUUCUUAAGUCUGAGGUGAAAGGUUCAACGCUUAACGUGAACAGUGCCUUGGACACUGGGGAGCUUGAGUAUGGGAGAGGGCAGUGGAAUGGCUGGUGUAGCGGUGAAAUGCGUAGAUAUCAGUCGGAACACCCAUGGCGAAGGCAGCUGCCUGGCCUAAUACUGACGCUGAGGUGCGAAAGCGUGGGGAGCGAACGGGAUUAGAUACCCCAGUAGUCCCUGUCUCUUAUU
rnacentral:rRNA from 1 species